CAGUGGGGAAUCUUGCACAAUGGAGGCAACUCUGAUGCAGCGACGCCGCGUGAGCGAUGAAGCCCUUCGGGGUGUAAAGCUCUUUCGACGGGAACGAUAAUGACGGUACCCGGAGAAGAAGCUGCGGCUAACUACGUGCCAGCAGCCGCGGUAAUACGUAGGCAGCAAGCGUUGUUCGGAAUUACUGGGCGUAAAGAGUGUGUAGGCGGUGCUCUAAGUUCGGUGUGAAAUCUCCUGGCUUAACUGGGAGGGUGCGCCGAAAACUGGAGUGCUCGAGCGCGGGAGAGGAAAGCGGAAUUCCUGGUGUAGCGGUGAAAUGCGUAGAUAUCAGGAGGAACACCUGUGGUGUAGACAGCUUUCUGGACCGUAGCUGACGCUGAGACACGAAAGCGUGGGUAGCAAACAGGAUUAGA
rnacentral:rRNA from 1 species